rnacentral:lncRNA from 1 species
AAAAAUCCAUUAGAUCAUUAGACCCCUAAGACCCUUGGAAAAUACAGAGCAACGACGCUCCAUAUCUGCUCUCUUUUGAAAUGAAAAAUCCAUCCCAAUUUGCUCUCAGGUCCCUCACAUAAUCCUUUCUCCCUCUCCUUCCUCUCUGAUUUCACUAACAUAUACAUGCAAAAAGCCUUAGCAGCAACUGGAAUUUGAGAUUCCAAAUUUGGCGAAAACUCUCGAAAAACAUAAUCGAAAACCAAAAGAAAAAGAUUUGAAAAGCUAGUCUGAAUUCUGUUGUUUUUUUCAAUAAUUCAUAGUUGCUUGAGCUGAAUUUGGACUUAAAUUGAAGUUGUGCAUGUGUUUGAGUGGAAAACAAAGUUCUAAAAAGAAACAAAAGAAAAAGGGGAAAGUGAAAUUUCAAGGGGAAAAUCUGAAAUCAACUCGAUGGCUAGCGAGUUUUGAGAACCAAACGCUUCCUGGGUUUCUAAAAAUUGCUGAGUUCGAAAAUCUGCUGUUGUUGUAUUCAUGUAGCAGCUGAGCUCCACUCUGUCUCCUUCUUAGCCUUAUUUGGCCUCACAAGUUUGUUUUAAAUACUAGGUAUGUACACUUCCAGUUUCUUUGAUUGUUUCUAGGUCGAAUGAAUGAAAUAUUGAUUUGUUUUGGCUCCAAUUUUUUCUGUUGUUUGGUUGAAUCUGUUGCCUUACUUUGGAUAAGCAUAUUGAAUGAUGAAUCUAUGUUUAUUAGUUUGAGUAAGAAGAAGUUUAAUUUUGAUGAAGGGUCAUGACGACGGGUAAUAAAAACGUGAAAUCAGUGUAUAUAAACUCAGCUAUAUAAAUUUGAUUAGAGAACGAUUACAUCUAAAGCAAGUAGAGUAAUAAUUUGGCAUAUUGAGUUGGAUUCCAAGGAUCGGCUUCGUGCCUGAUGUUUGAAUUUGAUUGUCUAAGAUAUUUGAUUUUCUACUGAUUAGGUUCUUAAAAUCAAAAGCUGUCAUUUUUGUCAUUGUCUUUGUUAUCUUACCCCAAAAAUCUAGCCAUGACAAGAGCCAACAACCAUCCUCUAUCUGUGAGCAAACUAGUCCAAAAUGUUAUCCCUUUUCCACUUGAAAACACCACAAAGUCAGCCUCCCAAAAGGCCAUGAAAAUCAGCCUUAAACUCACUUGGAAACUUCAUUGAAACUAGCAACAAAGAGAUCUAUUUCCUCCACCAAAACAACUACUCAAACUGCCAUGAAAAUACCUCUGUCCCAUCAAAGAACGCAGCCAGCAAAGCUAAAGAAAAACAACUGAAAUCAACCACAAAAACGACCCCGAAACAGCUCGAAAACCCAGCUCUUUUCCCCGUGAAACAGUCCAAAACUCAGCUGAAAAAACGUAGCAAAGUAAUCAUGAAAACUGAGCUAAAAAACCAGCCAAAAAUCACCUCAAAACUGCUGAAAAACAGUCCCAAAACCACCCCUAUUUUAAUUCUUUUGCUCUUGUUCAUUUGAAUAGUUCUAGGUAUGGUUUAGCCAUUUAUUAACAUUUAUUAUUUUGUGUUUUGUUAGUUUUGUUAUUCUGUUUGGAUGUGAAGAUGUCGGAAAGUUGGCAUGAAUUUGACAAGUUGGUUGUGAUGAUUAUUUUUAAAUUUGAGGUACUUUUACUAAUUAAUGAGUUAUUUAGUUAGUAUUUAAGCUUGUUUGGCCAUUUGAUUGUCUUAGAAAACCAGAAGAUUAGAUUAAGCUUAAAAAGUAUUAUUGUAUUUUAGUUUGGACCAAUUUGAUUAAAUGAAUGGUUGGGUAAAAUAAAUGUUAUGCCAUGCCAAAUAAAACCUCUAAGUCCAUGGCCCUCGCAAAGUUGAAAAUGCGUAGCUGCUUUAGGCGCGUAAUUUAAAAUUACUUUCCUAAACUCGGGUGUGCAUUUCAUGUGACCCAAAUCCAAAUCUUAGCAAUGUUAAAUAAAAUGUGUCUCGGACUGCGGGUACAUUUCAUGUGGCGUGGUCCAAGGACGUGGUUUAGAUGACAUUGAAAUCUUCCUUAAAACAAUUAAAAGUGGUUUAAAGCUAAAAUGCACAUAGGUCUAAAAGUGUUUUUUAAAAUCAAAUAAUUGAGCCAAAAAUAACAGUUGAGCGACCGUGCUAGAACCACGGAACUCGGGAAUGCCUAACACCUUCUCCCAGGUUAACAGAAUUCCUUACCCAGAUUUCUGUGCUCGCAGACUAUAAAACAGAGUCAAUCAUUUCCUAUAUUCGGGAUUCUAAACCGGUGACUUAGGACACCAUAAAUUAUCCCAAGUGGCGACUCUGAAUCUGAUAAAUAAAUAAUCCCGUUUCGAUUGUCACUUUAAAUUGGAAAAAACUCCCUUAUAUACUCCCUUCCGAGAUAUAGGGUAAAAAGGAGGUGUGACAAGUGUAAACACUUAACUAUCCCUCGCCGUGGGUGGUGAUAUCUUCAUCGGGCCUGGGAACCACCACGCGCUUGAAAGGAGGAAGGUUUGUCAACCUUAAAAUUGGCAAUUACCGAGCACCCACCAGGGAUGAACGUGUUCAAAAUGGGUUCCUCGACAAUAGAACAUGGAACGGUCUCCUCGACAACCGAAAGCGAUGCAGAAGGAGUUUCUUUUUGGGGAAUGGUUUUUGAAGUCUUCGCCAUUUUUCUUAAAUGGAGGGGAAAGAAGAAGAGGAAGUUAGAGCAUCACACUUGAUGAUUUGGGGGUGAAGACGAGCAAAAGUUCUCAUAAAGGAUUUCAAGAAAUCAAAGUAUAAGUGCUAUAAAGUAGAUAAAUUUCUAAGGAACAACAAUAGAGAUUAUGCAUGUAAAGUUUGAAUGAACAAAGAAGGGCGUACUUAUAGUUUUCAAAUGAAGGUUCGCAUCUAGUAGCCGACUGGUAACUGACAAUCAUUGAAUACCAUUAAGACUUGACUAACGCGUCAUUUUUUUUAUUUUGUCGUUUCUGUCACAGGAUAUCGAGGUGAGAAUCGGGAGCUCAUGUCGUUUCUUAUCGUCUACUCUCCAAAAAACAAGGGGACUAUCUGUGUACGUUAGAAAUCGAGCUCGUAUAUGAUAUGGUAGAUUGGGCUCGGAACAUGAGGUAUUGACUCACACCUUACUUGUCUUUACUUUCAUGUGUCAACUUGUCAGGCAUCCACAUGUCGUUCAUCAAUUUUACCCCAUACAGAUAGUCAGCCUACUUUUCGGUAAUAACACUUCGUGUUACCAGAAAGUAGAUAAGGAUUUUUUUCUUGAUGGAAAAGGUUUUGAAUAGUUUUUGACACUUGAAAGGACGUAUGUCUCCUCGUAUUUAAUGAGUCGAACACGUGUUAUACUAUGAUUUGGUAAAUAUUUUUGUCAGUUUUUAAGGUAACGAUGACCAUGAAUUCUACUUCCUAUAAACUUUUCCACUACUCAUCCUUUUUAUUUUUCACUUUUACAAACUUUUCUUCUUUGAAUCACCCUUAGAGUUUUUCUGUAAAUCUCUCUUUCUUAGUAAAAUUUUCUUAACCAAAUUCUCUAUCACCAUAUCUUUCACUUUUUCUGUCCCCAAAAACUCUGGCCUUCACAUCAGUGGUGGCCCUUCUAAAAAGAAUAAAAUCAAGGAAGCCGAUGCCGGUCCUCCUACUACCAACACAAUUAUCCCAUCCCAAUUAAAUUCUGAAACGGAUCUCCAAGUGCAAAAGAACCUAUCAACCCCAAGAAAUAGAAAUUAUCCUGAUAGUAGAUAUCCUUCUUAUAUUCGCCCUACUAGUAUUCCGAUUAUGAAAGCAGAUUUCGAUUGGAAAACAUUAAAAUCUUAGCCCCAAUAAAGUGGAAGGGGUUACCUUUAACAAACGGGGGUUCAUGUAUAUCUACACGUAUCCUUCCACUUUAAGAAUGUGCCAAAAAAUUAAUCUCAAUAUCUUAGAAUUUUGUCACAAGCCCAUCAAUUUGACGUAUGGUGGCUUGCCUCGGGGUAUUGUGCUCCCAAGACGGAGAAAGCCUCACUCUUGCCCAUUUUAUCAACCUCUACUCCCCAAAGAAUUUUAUCAACCUCUACUCCCCAAAGAAUUUUAUCAACCCUCACCCAUCCACCAAACCUUAUUUACUAGUGUUGAUGAUGAUAAUGAUUGUGGUUGGAUGGAACGGUUCAUUGUCAUUACUACUAGGGACAUCCUUCUAGCAACAACACCUUCUAUCCCAGAAUCUUGGAACUUUGCUCGUAAGUUUUGUAGAUAGGUUUUUUCUAUUGCAUUAAAGAAAAUUCCCUCCUUUACUAACUUUUAUUUCUCUUAUUUAAGCUACCCGUUGGGUUCCAUCAUCGGCUAAGAACCUGACUCAAUGGGUACAAAAUAUUCUAGAUGCCUCUACACCGGAUUCCCAUAAGGGGAAAGAAAUUUCUCCAAAAUUUAAUUGGAAGGCCAAGAAUCAUGAUAAGGAAAAGUUCCUUUUUCCCUUUCUAAUCUUCAACAUGAAUUUGAUGGCUCUUUACUAACUCCCUCCUUCGUAAUACACAGGUCUUACAACUGGGUCUUUUAUUUUCCUGUUCUUGAGGUUUCCCAUGACCCAAUGGUGGCCCAUCAACGGAUGUAAGAAUCCUUAAUCGGAAGAGGGCUCGUGAUGCUGCUUUUGCUUCCGAUAAAGGCCCAUCUUCCCUGAGUCCCCAGUCUAAGGAGAAAAAAUCAAAAUGAAAACGUACCCCCAAAGAUGAGACUUAGGAGAAGCCUUCAACAAAAUAAGUUUCAAUUGGACCAACCACAAUUAUCACGACCCAAUGCCCGUUUAGGUCGUGAUGGCACCCAACACUGUUGCUAGGCAAGCCAACAGUCAACAAACUAGUGAUUUCCCAUUUUUAUUAGUUUUUCAAGUAAAUAAAUUUCCUUAAUUUAAAAUAUUUAAUGAAUAAUAGAUUUAAAGUAAUCAAAAUGAAAGCAGCUAAAUGCAAUCAUAACCGUAGAAAUACAACCCAAAAUCAUAAAUCUACUAGCGUGUGCCAAGACCCGGUGUCACAUGUGUAUGAGCACUCUAGUAAAAUAUAUAAAAGAAUACUAGUCUACUGUCUAAAAUGAAAUAGACAGAAAAUAUAACAAAAGAAAGACUUCGGCUGCUGCAAAACGGCUCGGAAGGGCAGCUCACUGUAUAGUCUUGUACCAGAAGUCAAGUGUGUGCACCAGACUGAUAACCACAUGUAUGUGCCUCAGAUCCUGCACAUUUUAAGUGCAGAAGUGUAGCGUGAGUACAUAAACAACAUAUACCCAGUAAUUAUCCAGUCUAACCUCGAAGAAGUAGUGACGAGGAAUCAACUUUGACACUUACUAUGGGCUAACAAUGAUAUAUCGAAAUGAUAUACUAAGCAUUGGUUACAUGAAUAAUACUGAAACUCAAUAAUAGUAAAUAUUAAAUGCUCAUUUCAUAAAUAUUAAGUCCCAAGUUUAUUUUCAUCAUUUAACAGUUUGUAUCUCAAGGCAUUUAAGCAAUAUCAACCAUGAAUAGUUCCAAAGAUUUAUCAUGCGCAAAUUAUGCUGAGGUCGAACGACCCAAUCCAACAUAAUAUUUAAACUCUACACUGCCGAGGAUCGACUGGCACGAACCAUAGAUGCAUCUAUCCGCUAUUGAGGCAUUCGACCUACUCCAUAAAUGGAAAACGCUAUGAAGAAACACAAAUUUUCAACAACAGUCAAAAUUCCUCAUUUAUAAAUUCAAGUAUUUGAAAUUUAACCUUCUACAAUUCUUUUAUCAACUUCCAUAUGACUCAAAUAAUUAAGUUAUCAAGUAGGAGCAAACAUUACAAACAAUAGCAUGAUAUGGGUCCUAGACUACUAGGACAAUAACACAAUUAGUAGCUACGUACGGACUCUCGCCACCUCGUAUAUACGUAGCCCCCACAAAUUAGACACACAUAUUUAUUUAAUUCACCUAUGGGGUUAAUUCCCUCUUAAAAGGUUAGAAAAGAGACUUACCUCAUCUCAAGGCCUACUUUCCGGUCCAAAGUUGUGCUCAAACCCCCAAAUUUGGUGCCAAACGACCCAAAACUAGUCAAAUAUUAUAUAAAAUAAUCAAUUUAUGCUCAAAAGUUCAUAUCCCAACUAUUAAAGUGAUUAUCCAACUUUAAAUGUAGGAUUCCUAAAAUUUACCCCCAGGCCAACGUGCCCGGAUUCGGAAAUUUUUUGAAGAAAGUUGUUACUCAUAACCCCAUGAACUCAAAUAUAUGAUUUUUACUAAAUUCCAUAACUAAUUUCGUGGUCAAAACUCAUUUUUAUCAAAAACCUAGAGUUUCAUCUAAACUCUUAAUUUUCACCAAUUUUUACAUGUUAAUCUACUCAUAAUCUAUGUAUUUAACUUAUGUUGUGUGGAAAUCACUUACCUCAAGGUGCUAGGUGAAACCCCCCUUCCAAGAGCUCCAAAAAUCGCCUAGGAGUUGAAAGAAAAUGAGCUAAAUGGUCUAAGUCUUGUAAUUAAUAAGUUGUGCACAGGCCUCAUAUGUGCGACAUCUGGUUCGCAAAUGCGACAAACCCAUCACAAAUGCGAACCUGGGCUUAGGUUGCCAUCGCAAAUGCGACCAAGGAGUCACAAAUGCAAACUCUGAUGAGAUCGCAAAUGCGACCAAUGUGUCCUAAAUGCAAACACUACCUAGGUCGGUCUUCUUUGCAAUUGUGAAGCCCUUCUCGCAAAUGCGAGGUUUGCAUUUGCGAGACCUGCAACUGCUGACAAGAAUCACCAGAAACUGAUGUGUUUUUCAUCCUUCCGAACGUCGAAACUCACCCGAGCCCUUGGGGCUCCACACCGAACACCCACACAAGUCUAACAACAUCAUACAAACUUGCUCGCACGAUCGGAACACUGAAAUAACAUCAAAAACCAUGAAUUGGUCGCCAAAAUGCAUGGUUUAGCUCAUGAACUCAAAACUUCUAUAAACACUUCCGCUCGUCCGAUUCCUAUCAAAUCAACUCGGAAUGAUGCCAAAUUUUGCGUGCAAGUCUUAAAUGACAUUACAGACCUACUCCAACUUUCGGAAGUAGAAUUCGAACCCGAUAUCAACAAGUCCACACUAGAUCAAACUUUCCAAAAACUUCAAAUUUCUAACUUUCCCCAAUUGACCUCGAGAUGACCUACAGACCUCCGAAUCCACUUCCGGACGCGCUCCAAAGUCCAGAACCACCAUAAGAAGCUAUUCCUAGGCUCGAAAUCCCAAACGCAUGUCUAGAAUGUAAAAAUCUACUUCAACCCAAACUUAUGAAAUUUACUCAAAUGGCAACUUUCACUAUUAGGUGCAAAAACGCUCUUGGGUCGUCCAAAACCCGAUCAGAACAUACGUCCAAGUCUGAAAUAAACAUAUGAACCUAUUGGAACCGUCAAAUCUUAAUUCCGAGGUCGUUUACUCAAAAUGUUGAUCGAAGCCAAACUUAGCCUUUUAAGCCAACUUUAAGGAAUCAAGUGUUCCGAUUUUAACCCGAACCUUUCCAAAUCCCGAACUAACCAUCCCCGCAAGUCAUAAAACAGUAAAAGCAUAUACGAAAAGUCUUAUUUAGGUGAAUGAGGUUCUAGAAAGCAAAACAACCGGUGGGGUAGUUACAUUCUCUACCUCUUAAACAAACGUUCGUCCUAGAAAGGGUUUAGAAUCAUACCCGGAGUGUUGAAUAAGUGUGGAUAUCUGUUCCGCAUGUCCUCCUCGGACUCCUAGGUCUCCUCCUCGACUGGUUGGCCCCUCCACUGAACCUUUACCGUGGAAAUCCUCUUGGAUCUCAACUUGCGAUCCUGUCUAGCAACAAUAGCAACUGGCUCCUCCUCAUAACCUAGGCUCUCAUCUAAAUAAAUCAUGCUGAAGUCUAAAACAUGUGACAAAUCGGUGUGAUACCUCUGGAGCAUAGACACGUGGAACACCGAAUGAACUCUCAAUAGGCUGAGAGGUAAAGCAAGCUCAUAAGCAACCUCCCCAACUCGUUUCAACACCUUAAAUGGUCCUAUAAACUUUGGGCUCAACUUGUCCUUCUUUCUGAAUCUCAUAAUACCCUUCAUCGGCAAGACUUUCAAGAGAACCUUAUCUCCUACCAUAAACGAUAAAUCGUGUGCCUUUUGAUCCGCGUAACUCUUCUGUCUGGACUGUGUUGUGCGAAGCCGCUCCUGAAUCAACCUUACCUUCUCCAAGGAAUCCUUUACCAAAUCACUACCGUAAAACUUAGCCUCGUCGAGCUCAAACCACCCAAUGGGAGAACAACAUCGCAGACCAUAUAGAGCCUCAAAUGGAGCCAUCUCGAUGCUCGGCUGAUAAAUAUUGUUGUAAGCAAACUCGGCCAGAGGUAAGAUCGAUCCCACUGUCCUCCUAAGUUAAUCACACAUGCUUUGAGAAUGUACUCUAAGAUCUAAACUGUCUGCUCCAACUGCUCGUCGGUCUAUGGAUGAAAUGCAGUGCUGAGCUCUAUACGGGUCCCCAACUCACUCUCUACAGCUCUCCAGAAAUGCAAAGUGAACUGAUGGCCACUAUCUGAUAUGAUGGAAACAGACACACCAUUCAACCGGAGUAUCUCCUGAAUAUAAAUCUGGGCCAACCUCUCUAAAGUAUACGUAGUCACAACUGGAAUGAAGUGUGCCGAAUUGGUCAACCUGUCAACAAUGACCCAAACUGAAUCAAACUUCCGCAAGGUAUAGUCAUCUGCUGGAAUAGGCCACCUGGACUCUGGUGCUCAUACUUAACCUGCUGGAAAUUUAGGCACCUAGCUAGAUACUCAACUAUAUCUUUCUUCAUCCGCCACCACCAGAAAUGUUGUCUCAGGUCACGAUACAUCUUCGUAGAACCUGGAUAAAUGGAAUACCGAGAACUGUGUGCCUCAUGUAGAAUCCUCCCUCUCAAGACAUCGACAUUAGGAACACAUAGACAACCCUGGUGUCGUAGAACACCAUCCUCGACGAUAGAACCUCCUUGGUACCACCCUGUAGUACCGUCUCUAUGGAACCAUCAAAUACAGAUCAUCAAACUGUCGAGCCUUGAUCUGCUCUAAUAGUGAAGACUGGGCAACGACUUAUGCAAGAACUCGGAUGGGCUCUGAAAUGUCCAACCUCAUAAGUUUGUUAGCCAAAGACUGAAUGUCCAAAGCUAAUGGCCUCUCCUCUGCUGAAAUGAAUGCCAAGCAACCCAUACUCUCUGAUUUUCUGCUCAAGGCAUCCACUACUACAUUGGCCUUGCCCGGAUGAUAAAGAAUGGUGAUGUUAUAAUCCUUUGGUAACUCAAGCCAUCUGCGCUACCUCAAGUUGAGAUCCCUUUGCUUGAACAAAUGCUGCAAGCUACGAUAAUCAGCGUAAACCACAUAGGAAACCCCAUAAAGAUAAUGCCUCCAAAUCUUAAGAGCCUGAAUAAUCGCGGCUAACUCUAAAUCGUGCACAAGGUAAUUUUUCUCAUGAAUCUUCAGCUAAUGUGAAUCAUAUGCAAUGACUCGCCCCUCCUGCAUCAAUACAUAACCCAAGUCAAUUCAUGAAGCAUCACAAUACACUUUAUACAUCCCCAAAUCGGAAGGCAACACUAGAACCGAUGAUGUAGUCAAAACUGUCUUGAGCUUCUAAAAGCUCAUCUCACAAUCGUGGGACCAACAAUAUAGAGCACCCUUCUGGGUCAAUCUGGUCAAAGGUGCUGUAAUGGAUGAGAAGCCCUCCACAAAUCGGCGAUAAUAACCUGCUAACCCCAAGAAAUUCCUGAUCUCAGUCGCCGAAGUGGGACGAGGCCAGCUCUGAACUACCUCAAUCUUCUUGGGAUCCACCUUAAUACCCUCGCCUGAUACAACAUGCCCCAAGAAUGCUACAGAAUCUAACCAAAACUCACACUUGGAGAACUUAGCAUAUAGCUUCUGUUCCGGCAAUGUUUGAAGAACCACUCUCAAAUGUUGCUCGUGCUCCUCCAUGCUGCAUGAGUAACCCAAAAUGUCAUCAAUGAAGACAAUGACAAACGAAUCAAUAUAAGGCCUGAACACUGUUGAUACCCAAUUUUUCCCUCAUAUAUUUUCAACAUGCAUAUAUAUUUUCAAAAAUAGUGCACAUGCAUUUACAAACAUGCACAAGUAUGUCUAUAAUUUUUUCUAUAAUUUUAAAGGCUUUCAACCAAUUUAUUUCUGUAUUUUUACUAUACAAAUAUCCAAUAGUUAUCCCUCAUAGUAUUUUUAUGAUGAUUUAAUCAUCUAGAUUCAUCAUUUAUGCCCAAAUAGUGCUUAAAUAUUUAAAUUACAUUUUUUAUAAUUACAUUUGCAUUUUUAAGCUAGAAUUGCACAUUUUGCAACAAUAGCCCAUGCAUAUGCAUAAUUAUAUUAUCUAUACAGAAAAUGAAUUUGUAUUUUUUAUAAUAUUAAUAAUUAUUUAGAAUCAUUUUAUUCAUAAAAAUCAUUUUUAUCAUUUAUUAACUAUUUUUACAAAUUAUUUUAUCAAUUAAUUGGGUAUUUAACAAAUAGCCUCUUUUAAUUUGGUUUAAUUUUGGACCUUAGCCCAAAUUGUUACCCCCAACCCAAUUAAAAUCAUAGCCCAAUACCCUGACCCAAUUUUUAAACCUGCUCAACCCCUCAGAUCAAAUCCUGGCCGUUGAUCUCAAAAGAUCAACAGUCCAAGAUCAUUUUUCUAUUUUAAUUAACCCCUAACAUCCUAACCCUAAUCAUUUUCUUCCGCUCUGCCGCGCUUGAAUCCCUCCUCCUCUCUUCUUUCUCAAACUCUCCCCUAACCCUAGCCCGUCGUCACUGGAAGCCCUUCAAUUCAUGGGGUUUUCCUUUGAUUUUAGGCCCCAUCCGGCCUCCUAUCUCUACUGGCUAUUCGAUUUCUUUGUUGUUUGAUGGAAUAUCAAAGAGAUUCAACACAGAUUUGGCUUCAAAUCUUCAUUUUCUUGGCGAACCUACCUGUGUUCAUCUCUAUGUUUGUGAGUGUUGUUAUCUUCAUGUUUAUGGAUUAAACCUCUAGUUCCAAAUUGGAUUUUUCUCACCUCAGUCCAUUUUUUAAAACCAUAGUUUCUUUCUACUCGAGUCUGUUAAGAUCUUUGUACAUCUGAGAUGAUUAUAAGUUUAUCUGAUAUUUCUCUUUAAAAAUCUUCUGUUUUUCCUUAUUAUUAACCGAUUUUAGUGUUCCUCUAAAAUUAUGGUUUCAUCUCUUUACGUUUCUGCAAAAGUUCUAAAAUUUUUAAGUGUUUAACUAUGGUUCUCUUUACUUGUUCGACUGAUUUUUAUGUCUAUAUUCUAAUCCCUAAGUUUUUUUUUUAAAAUUAUUUCACUGUUUGUUUUGAUAUUUGCCCGUUAUUCCUUGGCCCUAUCAAUUAACAGAGAUUAACUGAUUCUUAUUUGCCUAAUUAGGGUUCGAAAUAAUAUUUUUCUGUUAAAAUUGGUAUUUCUCUGCGAUUUUACUUAUUCUUUCCUUAUUUGUGACUAAUAAAUGAUACUACUUGCCUUAAUUAUGUUACUAGCCUAAUUUAUGGGAUUUGAUUGUUUUAACCGACCCCUAGAUGGUGUCUGAUUUAUUUUUCUACCUUAUUAAACCUCUAACUUGGCUGUUAAUUGAUUCUCCCUAAUUUAAGGAUAUUUUUCGGAUUUUGUUAUAUUAAUUAAUUGAGUUUAACCUUAAAAACUGGUUAAUUUGAUUUGCAUACCUUUUUUGUGAACUCUUAAUUUUCUUUGCCUUAUUUUUUUUACUCUGCCGAAUGCUAUAUAAACCGCCCUAUUCUGAUUUUUAAAACAGACGAACACAUAUGGAAAAUUAUAGAAACACCUACACACAUAAACUCUUACUCUUACUCACACACUCACACCCGUAGUUCUUUCUGUUACUUCUAUUUGCUAUACUCUCUAGUCGGCUGAAAGCCAAGGCUAAACUCUUGGAUUCUACUUGCCUUCACCUUCCCGUUUGGUAUCUCCUUAAGCGGUAUGCCUCCAUUUCUAUUAUCAUUCUAUAUUCUAUAUAGUUAAACUUCAACAUGCUUCUGUUUGCCCCCAUCUUUUCCUGUUUAUUGCUCUCUUAACCAGUAUGACCUAUUUCUUGUUAACUUGUCUUGUCUUACAUGUUAGUAUGGCUAGUAUACUUGAGCAUAUUCCUAUUUUAUCCAUGACACUUGUUUACCUGUUUCUCCACUAGCAUGCCCCAAUUCCUGUCUUGUUUUUAUGGGCUGGUAAUUUACCAUAGCAUGUUCCUGAUCAAUUCAUGGUUUCUGUGUACUUCUUUCAAGAAUAAUGUGCUUUAAAUUCCUGCUACCUUUUCUGUAUGGCUGUCUGAUUAGUCAUUUGACUUCAACAUGUUUCUCUUUACUAAAUACAUGUCUAUAUGAUUCCACCUAGUAAUAGUUAAUAGACUAAGUCAACUUUGGCAAUGUGAAACCUUGUUUGACUCAAUUGUGACUAUGUUCUGUCUAUGAUUUCAAUGUUCCUAUUUUGUUGUGACUGUUUAACUACUGGUAACUAUAUCUGAAUCAAUCUGCUGAAAUAUGGUUCUGUUCUGUUUGCAACUUGUUUCUAUUCACUUCUGAAAAUAAACUAUUUUUUCAUAAAACUAUCCCCUACCUUUGUAUACUAUUUUCAAAAUCUUACUCUUAGCUAUCUAGGGUCCUGCCACCCCUAGUGUGAGCACUGCCUAGGGUCAAUGAGACUCCUCCGAACUCUGACACACUAGGGCUGGCCUUCCAAACUCUUUACAAAACUGUUUCUUUGAAAAGGUUAUGGUGUGAGCAUUGCCCGGGGACCCUGAGGCCCUUGUGAACUUUGACACACCAGAAGCCCAUUUUGUGUAUUGUGGACUACCUGUGGACAUCAGACUUGCUUGCUUGAAGGCCUGAUUUCCAGGUUGACAUUGGGCCUGCCAAGACUCUCUAUAGUAUAAUGAUUUGUCAUUAUAUUGGUCUGUAAUAAUGAAAUAAUCCUUGUAAAAACAGAUAUGGGGUUAUGAGUAAAAGCAAGGGAGGAAUCUUUAUAUAUACCUUUUAUCAAAUUCGGGUAGAAAUCAUGCAUAUAGGUUGCUGUUGUGAUUCUUUAUGUGUAUGUCAUUAGAAGCCAUGCCUAUAGUACGUAUCUCAUUACUUGUAAUCCUGAUUUUUCACACUUUGCAUCCUAGAAAUCCUACUUCUAGGUCAUUUAUCAAUUCUGCAUCAAAGAACCAUAUUUCCAAAAUCUCUUUGUGUGCAUUAGAGAUCAUGUUUCUAGGAUAUUCUUUAUUGAACUGGCUUGGCAACUUGUUAACGCCUUUACUCACCUAGAUAUCAUGCCUAUAGGGAAUGUAUAAAAUCAGUCUUAAUACUUAGAUAUCAUGCCUAUAGGGAAUAAUGUUUGUAACCCAUUUCAGCACUUAGAAAGCAUGCCU